AAGGACUGCCCUCAGUGACUGAAGAAUAUGGCCAAGCCUGUAGCACAGAGCCGUGUGUACCACCUAGAUGAACCUGAUGCUCUCUCCACUCCUGUUCUUAUCCAGGGUAUGCUUUCUAUUAAUGAUACUUAUGCCAAUGCUUUGAUCGAUACAAGUGCUGCUCAUUCUUUUAUCUUUUGUGCAUUUGCUUGUAAACUUGAUAUUAGCACAUAACCUUUAGCAGAAAUAUUAA
rnacentral:lncRNA from 1 species